AAAAUCCGUCUGACAAGCCAAAGGCGUGACGCGGACCGAACUAAAGUAGGGAAGCAUCUGAUUCCAGCUGCCGAGAAAAGCCGCUAUUGUGUACCAUGUGCCCGUACCGUAAACCGACACAGGUGGAUGAGGAGAGAAUCCUAAGGCCGGCGGGAGAAGCAUUGUUAAGGAACUCGGCAAAAUGACCCCGUAACUUCGGGAUAAGGGGUGCCAGAGAGAUCUGGCCGCAGAGAAUAGGCUCAAGCAACUGUUUAGCAAAAACACAGGUCUAUGCGAAACCGUAAGGUGACGUAUAUGGGCUGACGCCUGCCCGGUGCUGGAAGGUUAAGAGGAGAGGUUAGAGCAAUCGAAGCUUUGAAUUGAAGCCCCAGUAAACGGCGGCCGUAACUAUAACGGUCCUAAGGUAGCGAAAUUCCUUGUCGGGUAAGUUCCGACCCGCACGAAAGGCGUAAUGAUUUGAGCGCUGUCUCGACAAUGCACCCGGUGAAAUUGAAAUACCAGUGAAGAUGCUGGUUACCUGCGCCAGGACGGAAAGACCCCAUGGAGCUUUACUCCAGCUUGAUACUGGGAUUCGGUAAUGCAUGCACAGGAUAGGUGGGAGGCUACGAGUACGGAACUCCGGUUUCGUAUGAGCCGCUGUUGGGAUACCACCCUUGCGUUACUGGGUUUCUAACCAUGGUCCAUGAUCUGGAUCGGGGACAAUGUCAGGUGGGGAGUUUGACUGGGGCGGUCGCCUCCGAAAGGGUAUCGGAGGCGCUCAAAGGUUCCCUCAGAAUGGUUGGAAACCAUUCGAAGAGUGCAAAGGCAGAAGGGAGCUUGACUGCGAGACCGACGGGUCGAGCAGGUAGGAAACUAGGACCUAGUGAUCCGGUGGUAUGAAAGUGGGAUUGCCAUCGCUCAACGGAUAAAAGCUACCCUGGGAUAACAGGCUUAUCACUCCCAAGAGUUCACAUCGACGGAGUGGUUUGGCACCUCGAUGUCGGCUCAUCGCAUCCUGGGGCUGAAGUAGGUCCCAAGGGUUGGGCUGUUCGCCCAUUAAAGCGGUACGCGAGCUGGGUUCAGAACGUCGUGAGACAGUUCGGUCCCUAUCCGGCGCAGGCGGAGGAUAUUUGAGAGGAGCUGUCCUUAGUACGAGAGGACCGGGAUGGACGGACCGCUGGUGUACCGGUUGAGCUGCUAAGCUCAUGGCCGGGUAGCCAAGUCUGGCAGGGAUAAACGCUGAAGGCAUCUAAGCGUGAAGCCCCCCUCAAGAUGAGAUAUCCCAUUCGAAAGAAGUAAGACCCCUUGAAGACGACGAGGUAGAUAGGGCAGAGGUGGAAGUGCAGUAAUGUACGGAGCUGACUGUUACUAAUCGGUCGAGGGCUUACCAA
rnacentral:rRNA from 1 species